AACUUGUGCUAAUACCGAAUGUGCCCUUCGGGGGAAAGAUUUAUCGCCUUUAGAGCGGCCCGCGUCUGAUUAGCUAGUUGGUGAGGUAAAGGCUCACCAAGGCGACGAUCAGUAGCUGGUCUGAGAGGAUGAUCAGCCACAUUGGGACUGAGACACGGCCCAAACUCCUACGGGAGGCAGCAGUGGGGAAUCUUGCGCAAUGGGCGAAAGCCUGACGCAGCCAUGCCGCGUGAAUGAUGAAGGUCUUAGGAUUGUAAAAUUCUUUCACCGGGGACGAUAAUGACGGUACCCGGAGAAGAAGCCCCGGCUAACUUCGUGCCAGCAGCCGCGGUAAUACGAAGGGGGCUAGCGUUGCUCGGAAUUACUGGGCGUAAAGGGAGCGUAGGCGGACAUUUAAGUCAGGGGUGAAAUCCCGGGGCUCAACCUCGGAAUUGCCUUUGAUACUGGGUGUCUUGAGUAUGAGAGAGGUGUGUGGAACUCCGAGUGUAGAGGUGAAAUUCGUAGAUAUUCGGAAGAACACCAGUGGCGAAGGCGACACACUGGCUCAUUACUGACGCUGAGGCUCGAAAGCGUGGGGAGCAAACAGGAUUAGAUACCCUGGUAGUCCACGCCGUAAACGAUGAUUGCUAGUUGUCGGGAUGCAUGCAUUUCGGUGACGCAGCUAAC
rnacentral:rRNA from 1 species